UGCUCAUAAGAAGUGCUCCAGAAUAUUAAAAAACCUUAACCAAUUCAUGCUAUUUGGCAGAAUGAGUAUGACCACACUCCACUGUGGGCUAUACUACUUAGUAUGGUUCAUUACUAUAUUGUGGCCUACAUU